UGCAUACCUCAUAAUUUCCAAUACUGUAUAUUUCUCCCACAAACGCUUAAUAUGUGGACAAAAUGUACGAUUAAAACUCAAAGUUUUGUUGUGAUAAUCAGCCCGGCAGAUCAAAGUGUGUAAAUGCAACUUUAUAUGUAAAAACUGUCACACAGCACGUUUAAUUUUGCACAAAAACACAAUGUGUUUUCAACAUAGGUUUUUUAUAUUACUAUACUAGUUUUAAGUGAUC